ACCCAGCUGACGAGUCUCAGAUUGGACGAAACGCAUGUCCUGAAU
rfam:Schistosoma mansoni, Puerto Rico, WGS project CABG01000000 data, contig: 0138